AUGCUCUCUUUAGCAGCACAUAUACUAAAAUUGGAACAAUACAGAGAUUAGCAUGCCCCCUGCACAACGAUGAUAGGUAAGAUAGGGACCAGGGGAGGUACAAAGAGUCU
ensembl:snRNA U6 U6 spliceosomal RNA